rnacentral:rRNA from 1 species
GGCAACGGAUAUCUCGGCUCUCGCAUCGAUGAAGAACGUAGCGAAAUGCGAUACUUGGUGUGAAUUGCAGAAUCCCGUGAACCAUCGAGUCUUUGAACGCAAGUUGCGCCCGAAGCCUUCGGGCCGAGGGCACGCCUGCCUGGGCGUCACGCAUCGCGUCGCCCCCACCACCCCGCUCU